rnacentral:rRNA from 1 species
AGCGCAGGCGGGAAACUAAGCGGAUCUUAAAAGUGCGGGGCUCAACCCCGUGAUGGGGUCCGAACUGGUUUUCUUGAAUGCAGGAGAGGAAAGCGGAAUUCCCAGUGUAGCGGUGAAAUGCGUAGAUAUUGGGAAGAACACCAGUGGCGAAGGCGGCUUUCUGGACUGUAACUGACGCUGAGGCUCGAAAGCUAGGGUAGCGAAG